ACGCUGGCGGCGUGCUUAACACAUGCAAGUCGAACGAUGAAGCCUAGCUUGCUAGGUGGAUUAGUGGCGAACGGGUGAGUAAUACGUGAGUGACCUACCUUUGACUCUGGGAUAAGCCUGGGAAACUGGGUCUAAUACCGGAUACGACCAAUCUCCGCAUGGGGUGUUGGUGGAAAGCGUUAUGGAGUGGUUUUAGAUGGGCUCACGGCCUAUCAGCUUGUUGGUGAGGUAAUGGCUUACCAAGGCGACGACGGGUAACCGGCCUGAGAGGGUGACCGGCCACACUGGGACUGAGACACGGCCCAGACUCCUACGGGAGGCAGCAGUGGGGAAUAUUGCACAAUGGGCGCAAGCCUGAUGCAGCGACGCCGCGUGAGGGAUGACGGCCUUCGGGUUGUAAACCUCUGUUAGCAUCGAAGAAGCGAAAGUGACGGUAGGUGCAGAGAAAGCGCCGGCUAACUACGUGCCAGCAGCCGCGGUAAUACGUAGGGCGCGAGCGUUGUCCGGAAUUAUUGGGCGUAAAGAGCUUGUAGGCGGUUGGUCGCGUCUGCUGUGAAAGGCUGGGGCUUAACCCUGGUUUUGCAGUGGGUACGGGCUAACUAGAGUGCAGUAGGGGAGACUGGAAUUCCUGGUGUAGCGGUGGAAUGCGCAGAUAUCAGGAGGAACACCGAUGGCGAAGGCAGGUCUCUGGGCUGUAACUGACGCUGAGAAGCGAAAGCAUGGGGAGCGAACAGGAUUAGAUACCCUGGUAGUCCAUGCCGUAAACGUUGGGCACUAGGUGUGGGGGACAUUCCACGUUUUCCGCGCCGUAGCUAACGCAUUAAGUGCCCCGCCUGGGGAGUACGGCCGCAAGGCUAAAACUCAAAGAAAUUGACGGGGGCCCGCACAAGCGGCGGAGCAUGCGGAUUAAUUCGAUGCAACGCGAAGAA
rnacentral:rRNA from 1 species